rnacentral:lncRNA from 1 species
CCUUUGUGGCUUUCAGUUCAUACUGACUCACUUAGAUGGCAGACAACUUCUCAUUAAAACCCAACCUGGGGAAGUCGUUAAGCCUGGUAAGGAUUUUUCUGCUAACCCUUUUAUGAUAAAUGUCUUUACUUGCUGCUUUAAUAGUUGUCAUUAGCUGUCGACGAACCCUCUCUUCAUUUAUAGGUUGCUAUUUGACCUUUUGAUAUCUUGUAGUCGAUAUUUAUCUUUAUAAAUGAUUGACGAUUUCUCUUUGUUUAACAUAGAUCAAUUCAAAGCAAUAAACGAUGAAGGAAUGCCGAUUUAUCAGAGGCCAUUUAUGAGAGGUAAACUUUUCAUUCACUUCACUGUUGACUUCCCUGACUCGUUGACCCCAGACCAAUGCAAGGCACUGGAGGCUGUGCUUCCUCCCAAGGCAUCGGUUCAGCUGACUGACAUGGAGCUGGAUGAGUGCGAGGAAACAACCAUGCAUGAUGUUAAC